GUGGCGUCUGUCAGCCACUGGCUCUGGACCACCUUGUAAAUGUUGGGAGCUCACUAGACAACCCCACUGCCCACAAAGGCACUUGCGUUCCUGAGCAAACAAACCCUUGGCAUACCAGGAGCUCCGAGCACCAAAGCAGCAAUUCUAGUUGUAGAGUUCAUGGGAUGUGAGGGACCUUGGCCUUCAGGGAAAGUCAGGAAGUUCAAAUCCCAAACUGCUGCCUGAGAUCCUUUUGGAACAUGACACUGGAUGGCCUGGUGAAGGCCUGCCUUCCCUGGGACUGAGAUCCUCGCUCUGGAAAAGAGGGGCCUCAUCUCCCAAGUUCAUGGGUCCCCUCUGUCGCAGCUGCCGUCCUGUGUCCAAAUCAGACCCAGCCGCUUUUGCUGGAAGACCCUCCAAUGUCAGAAAUUUCUAAUGCUGACACCUCCAAAUGUUAGAAACCUCUUGGGAAAAUCAGUUUCUCCAGAGGAAAAGAAGCGCAAGCUGAGGUCAAGUUCUCCAGAGCACCACCUGCCUCCUUCAGCGUCCAGAGAAAGGCCAUCAGCCAGCUCUGGGAGCCUAGAGAUGAGAUGGGGACAGAAUCACUCAUUUUAAGACUUCCGAUGCAGUCUCCUCUGUUCAGUUCCACCCCAAACAUGGCCUUAUUUGUCCUCUGAGGCUUUCAGUGCUCAUCAAUGCCAGCUGCUCACUCCUUUUUGGCAUCCUCCAAACCCUCCUGACACCACCUGAGCGGCAGCUCUAUCUGGUUUGCUAAACCAGGUAAUACUUGGAACCCUUUAUCCAAAGGAAGGACUCCAACAAAAUUUCAGACGAGAGGGAUGGGCAGCAAGGGGAUGUUCUGAGUGGAUGACUGUCUUGGUCCAUUUGGAUUGCUGUAACAGAAAUACCAUAAACACGGUGCCUUAUAAGCAAUAAAUUACUUCUCAUAGUUCUGUAUUCUGGAAAGCCCAAGACAAUGGUGCCAGCAGAUCUGUCCAGUGAAAGCCCACUUCUU